rnacentral:tRNA from 1 species
CCUUCAAUAGCUCAGCUGGUAGAGCGGAGGACUGUAGAUCCUUAGGUCGCUGGUUCAACUCCGGCUCGAAGGA